rnacentral:rRNA from 1 species
GAAGCGGCAACAGCUCAAAUUUGAAAUCUGGCCCUCAGGGUCCGAGUUGUAAUUUGUAGAGGAUGCUUCGGGUUCGGCUCCGGUCUAAGUUCCUUGGAACAGGACGUCACAGAGGGUGAGAAUCCCGUAUGUGACCGGCCGCCACGCCCGUGUGAAGCUCCUUCGACGAGUCGAGUUGUUUGGGAAUGCAGCUCAAAAUGGGUGGGAAAUUUCAUCUAAAGCUAAAUAUUGGCCAGAGACCGAUAGCGCACAAGUAGAGUGAUCGAAAGAUGAAAAGCACUUUGGAAAGAGAGUUAAACAGUACGUGAAAUUGUUGAAAGGGAAGCGAUUGCACCAGACUUGCCCGCGGGCGAUCAGCCGGGAUUCUUACCGGUGCACUCGCCCGUGGUCAGGCCAGCAUCGGUUUGGGCGGUUGGAUAAAGUCCCCCGGAAUGUAGCUCCUCUCGGGGAGUGUUAUAGCCGGGGGUGCCAUGCAGCCCGCCCGGACCGAGGACCGCGCUUCGGCUAGGAUGCUGGCGUAAUGGUUGUAAGCGACCCGUCUUGAAACACGGACCAAGGAGUCUAACAUCUAUGCGAGUGUUUGGGUGUCAAACCCAUGCGCGUAAUGAAAGUGAACGGAGGUGGGAACCCUGCACCAUCGACCGAUCCUUCUUCGGAUGGAUUUGAGUAGAGCAUAGCUGUUGGGACCCGAAAGAUGGUGAACUAUGCCUGAUAGGGUGAAGCCAGAGGAAACUCUGGUGGAGGCUCGCAGCGG